AUUGAACGCUGGCGGCAGGCCUAACACAUGCAAGUCGAACGGCAGCACAGAAGAGCUUGCUCUUUGGGUGGCGAGUGGCGGACGGGUGAGUAAUGUCUGGGAAACUGCCCGAUGGAGGGGGAUAACUACUGGAAACGGUAGCUAAUACCGCAUAACGUCGCGAGACCAAAGUGGGGGACCUUCGGGCCUCACACCAUCGGGUGUGCCCAGAUGGGAUUAGCUAGUAGGUGGGGUAAUGGCUCACCUAGGCGACGUUCCCUAUCUGGUCUGAGAGGAUGACCAGCCACACUGGAACUGAGACACGGGCCAGACUCCUACGGGAGGCAGCAGUGGGGAAUAUUGCACAAUGGGCGCAAGCCUGAUGCAACCAUGCCGCGUGUAUGAAGAAGGCCUUCGGGUUGUAAAGUACUUUCAGCGGGGAGAAAGGCGGUGAGGUUAAUAACCUCGCCGAUUGACGUUACCCGCAGAAGAAGCACCGGCUAACUCCGUGCCAGCAGCCGCGGUAA
rnacentral:rRNA from 1 species